UACAGAGGGGGCAAGCGUUGUUCGGAAUUACUGGGCGUAAAGGGCGCGUAGGUGGCCUUCUAAGUUGAACGUGAAAUCCCUGGGCUCAACCCAGGAACUGCGUCCAAGACUGGGAGGCUUGAAUCCGGGAGAGGGAUGCGGAAUUCCAGGUGUAGCGGUGAAAUGCGUAGAUAUCAGGAGGAACACCUAUUGCGAAGGCAGCUCGCUGGGACGUAACUGACGCUGAGACGCGAAAGCGUGGGGAGCAAACAGG
rnacentral:rRNA from 1 species